UACGUAGGUGGCAAGCGUUGUUCGGAUUUAUUGGGCGUAAAGGGCUUGCAGGUGGUUGCGUAAGUGUGAGUUGAAAGACCGGGGCUUAACCCCGAGUUUGGCUUGCAAACUGCGUGACUGGAGUGCAGAAGGGGAUGUUGGAAUUCCGCGUGUAGGGGUGAAAUCUGUAGAUAUGCGGAAGAAUACCAGUGGCGAAGGCGAACAUCUGGUCUGUAACUGACACUGAGAAGCGAAAGUGUGGGGAG
rnacentral:rRNA from 1 species